UACGGGGGGGGCAAGCGUUGUUCGGAAUUACUGGGCGUAAAGGGCUCGUAGGCGGCCAACUAAGUCGGACGUGAAAUCCCCAGGCUCAACCUGGGAACUGCGUCCGAUACUGGAUGGCUUGAAUUCGGGAGAGGGAUGCAGAAUUCCAGGUGUAGCGGUGAAAUGCAUAGAUAUCUGGAGGAAUACCGGUGGCGAAGGCGGCAUCCUGGACCGACAUUGACGCUGAGGAGCGAAAGCUAGGGGAGCAAAUGGG
rnacentral:rRNA from 1 species